rnacentral:rRNA from 1 species
AAUAUUUCGCAAUGGAGGGAACUCUGACGCAGCGACGCCGCGUGAGCGAUGAAGGUCUUCGGAUCGUAAAGCUCUGUCCUUGGGGAAGAAGGUCUUCGGACUUGACGGUACCUAAGGAGGAAGCCCCGGCUAACUACCUGCCAGCAGCCUCGGUAAUACGUAGGGGGCAAGCGUUGUCCGGAAUUAUUGGGCGUAAAGGGUGCGUAGGCGGCCUUUUAAGUCAGAUGUGAAAGCCAACGGCUUAACCGUGGGACUGCAUUUGAAACUGUACUACUUGAGUGCAGGAGAGGAGAGCGGAAUUCCUAGUGUAGCGGUGAAAUGCGUAGAGAUUAGGAAGAACACCAGUGGCGAAGGCGGCUCUCUGGACUGUAACUGACGCUGAGGCGCGAAAGCGUGGGUAGCGAACA